rnacentral:rRNA from 1 species
AGCCCGCUCAGAAACUUAAUGACUUGACGGGGCCCGCACAAGCGGUGGAGCAUGUGGUUUAAUCGAUGAUACGCGAGGAACCUUACCUGGGCUCAAAUGUAUGUUUGACGUAUUCUGAAAGGGAUACUUCUUCGGACAAUAUACAAGGUGCUGCAUGGUUGUCGUCAGCUCGUGCCGUGAGGUGUCGGGUUAAGUCCCAUAACGAGCGCAACCCCUAUCAUUAGUUGCCAUCAGGUCAAGCUGGGGACUCUAAUGAAACUGCCUACGCAAGUAGUGAGGAAGGUGGGGAUGACGUCAAAUCAGCACGGCCCUUACGUCCAGGGCUACACACGUGCUACAAUGGCCGGUACAAAGGGCAGCUACCUGGUGACAGGAUGCUAAUCUCAAAAGCCGGUCUCAGUUCGGAUCGGAGUCUGCAACCCGACUCCGUGAAGCUGGAAUCGCUAGUAAUCGCGCAUCAGCCAUGGCGCGGUGAAUACGUUCCCGGGCCUU